UACGUAGGGGGCAAGCGUUGUCCGGAAUCAUUGGGCGUAAAGCGCGUGUAGGCGGCUCGAUAAGUCCGCUCUGAAAGUCCAGGGCUCAACCCUGGGAUGCGGGUGGAUACUGUCGGGCUCGAGUCCGGAAGAGGCGAGUGGAAUUCCCGGUGUAGCGGUGAAAUGCGCAGAUAUCGGGAGGAACACCAAUGGCGAAGGCAGCUCGCUGGGACGUAACUGACGCUGAGACGCGAAAGCGUGGGGAGCAAACAGG
rnacentral:rRNA from 1 species